rnacentral:rRNA from 1 species
UACGUACCGGACAAACGUUAUUCGGAAUUACUGGGCUUAAAGAGUGCGUAGGCGGCUCUAAAGGUGAGGUGUGAAAUCCCACGGCUCAACCGUGGAAUUGCGCUUCAAACCGUAGGGCUAGAGGGAGACAGGGGUGAGUGGAACUGAUGGUGGAGCGGUGAAAUGCGUUGAUAUCAUCAGGAACACCAGUGGCGAAGGCGACUCACUGGGUCUCUUCUGACGCUGAGGCACGAAAGCUAGGGGAGCAAACGGG